UGGGGAAUCUUGCGCAAUGGGCGAAAGCCUGACGCAGCGACGCCGCGUGAGUGAUGAAGGCCUUCGGGUUGUAAAGCUCUGUGGGGAGAGAAGAAUAAGUGCGGGCUAAUACUCCGCAUGAUGACGGUAUCUCCUUAGCAAGCACCGGCUAACUCUGUGCCAGCAGCCGCGGUAAGACAGAGGGUGCAAACGUUGUUCGGAAUUACUGGGCGUAAAGCGAGUGUAGGCGGUUUGGUAAGUCGGAUGUGAAAGCCCCGGGCUCAACCCGGGAAGUGCACUCGAUACUGCCAAGCUAGAGUAUCGGAGAGGUUGGUGGAAUUCUCGGUGUAGAGGUGAAAUUCGUAGAUAUCGAGAGGAACACCGGUGGCGAAGGCGGCCAACUGGACGAAUACUGACGCUGAGACUCGAAAGCGUGGGGAGCAAACAGGAUUAGAUACCCAAGUAGUCCCUGAGCGGGCUGGCAAGGCGCAU
rnacentral:rRNA from 1 species